rnacentral:lncRNA from 1 species
UAUGAGUGACCUGCCACCUUCUCUCUUUCUCCUUUUUAUUUAAUUUUUAUUUUUAUUUUCAGCAGGCACUUAUUCUUAUCCUUGCCUGAAAAAGUCACUAACCUUUUUACGCGAUUGUGUACAUGGGUGAUACACCCCCGGUUACUCAGAUAGUCACUUGUUCAAGUGGCUACUAGCUCUGUUCAUAGUCUAGACCAUCGAAACUUAUUCGCUUGAAAAGUUACUGACCUUUUUACGCGAUUGUGUACAUGGGUGAUACACCCCCGGUUACUCAGUCAGUUACUUCCCCAAGUGGCUAUUAGGCUCAGUUCAUAGUCUUAGACCAUUGGAACAAGUUUGUGAUUUGUGCUUUGUGCUGGUUUUUCAUGAUAAUUUGGGCAAAUCAGCUCAUAGGGAGUUACACUAGCUUUGUGUUUGCAUGUAUUUGUAUUUUUAUUUCCUUUGACCUUAGCACAUUUAAGGAUUCAAUUCAAGAGAAAAACUCCCUAAGUGAAGGUAACAUACUGUGAAUGAUUCAAUUUAGGCUUAAAGGGGUGGCAAAUCAAUGGGGUCAUGAGAUAAGGGCACUCUUUCAACUUUGUUAUCUAUGUUGAGUAGAGCAAUUAGCUACAAAAUUCUGUGUGUGUGUGCUAGGAGUGUUAAAAAAAAAAAAAUUCUGGGUGUGCAAAAAAGGGGUGAGAACAAUGCAAAAAGAAACAAAAAGAAACAACAAGAAGCAAAAAGAUGGAGGUGCGGCGUGCGGCGGCUCACGAGCACGAGGUGCAGUGCUGCAGCGGCUCCCAGUCGCGCGAUGCAGAGGUGGGCUGCAAACGAGCAGUCGAUUCAGAGGUGCGGCGUGCGGAGGCUCACAGGCGCACGAUGCGGCGGUGGAGCUGGCGCGACGUGCUGCUGCUCAGGCGGUCGACGGGUCCUUUGAAAUACGAUGUGUUAGGCGCUUUUGCCACUAUGUGGUUUUGGUUUUUAUAACCAAUUAAUUAAAUUAUACAAUCAUACAAAAAUUACAUAAUUUUAACCAAAACUACACAUCUUAAAU